AGUUUUGAGCUAAAUAUAUUUAUAAUAUUAGUUAUUUAUAAAGGUGUUGUAAAACCUUAUUUAAAAUUAUAUUUAGGGGUGAUAGGCCUUUCAAAAACUAAGAUAUCUUGAAUCUAAUUAAAAGUAUGUAGUACAUUUAAUACAACUAUAAAGUGAUUAGGCUUUAUAGAAUUAUUAACUUAUAAGAUUUUAUUUACUAUAAUUUAAUAAUUAAGUAUAUAAAUAUAUUAAUAUACAUAUAUUAUAGUUUAUAAUAGAGUAAUUAGAUAGAUUUAAGCUCAUAUUUCUUAUAAUAAUGUUAAUAUUAGUAUUAAGUUUAUAUUUAUAUGAUGAACUCGGCAAAAAUAUUUCUCAACUGUUUAUCAAAAACAUAACUAUGUGAAUGAAUACAUAGCGGUUUCUGCUCAA
rnacentral:rRNA from 1 species